rnacentral:rRNA from 1 species
UACGAAGGGUGCAAGCGUUACUCGGAAUUACUGGGCGUAAAGCGUGCGUAGGUGGUUUGUUAAGUCUGAUGUGAAAGCCCUGGGCUCAACCUGGGAAUUGCAUUGGAUACUGGCAGGCUAGAGUGCGGUAGAGGAUGGCGGAAUUCCCGGUGUAGCAGUGAAAUGCGUAGAGAUCGGGAGGAACAUCUGUGGCGAAGGCGGCCAUCUGGACCAGCACUGACACUGAGGCACGAAAGCGUGGGGAGCAAACAGGAUUAGAU